ACUUGAGGGCGAUCUGGCUGUGACAUCUGUCACCCCAUUGAUCGCCAGGGUUGAUUUGGCUGAUCUGGCUGGCUAGGUGGGUGUCUCCUUCCUCCCUCACUGCUCCAUGUGUGUCCCUCCCGAAGCUGCGCGCUCGGCCGAAGAGGACGGCCUUCCCUGAAUAGAGAGACUGGUCUUUGAUUGAGGGUCUGCGAGUAGCUGCGCUCCCCUGCUAGAACCUCCGAACAAGCUCUCAUCUCCACCCACUCAUCC
rnacentral:snRNA from 1 species